rnacentral:rRNA from 1 species
UCUACGGGGUGCUGCAGUCGAGAAUCAUUCACAAUGGGGGAAACCCUGAUGGUGCGACGCCGCGUGGGGGAAUGAAGGUCUUCGGAUUGUAAACCCCUGUCAUGUGGGAGCAAAUUAAAAAGAUAGUACCACAAGAGGAAGAGACGGCUAACUCUGUGCCAGCAGCCGCGGUAAUACAGAGGUCUCAAGCGUUGUUCGGAAGCACUGGGCGUAACGCGUGCGUAGGCUGUUUCGUAAGUCGUGUGUGAAAGGCGCGGACUCAACCCGCGGACGGCACAUGAUACUGCGAGACUAGAGUAAUGGAGGGGGAACCGGAAUGCUCGGUGUAGCAGUGAAAUGCGUAGAUAUCGAGAGGAACACUCGUGGCGAAGGCGGGUUCCUGGACAUUAACUGACGCUGAGGCACGAAGGCCAGGGGAGCGAAAGGGAUUAGAUACCCCAGUAGUC